GAUGAACGCUGGCGGCGUGCCUAAUACAUGCAAGUCGAGCGAACGGACGAGAAGCUUGCUUCUCUGAUGUUAGCGGCGGACGGGUGAGUAACACGUGGAUAACCUACCUAUAAGACUGGGAUAACUUCGGGAAACCGUAGCUAAUACCGGAUAAUAUUUUGAACCGCAUGGUUCAAAAGUGAAAGACGGUCUUGCUGUCACUUAUAGAUGGAUCCGCGCUGCAUUAUCUAGUUGGUAAGGUAACGGCUUACCAAGGCAACGAUGCAUAGCCGACCUGAGAGGGUGAUCGGCCACACUGGAACUGAGACACGGUCCAGACUCCUACGGGAGGCAGCAGUAGGGAAUCUUCCGCAAUGGGCGAAAGCCUGACGGAGCAACGCCGCGUGAGUGAUGAAGGUCUUCGGAUCGUAAAACUCUGUUAUUAGGGAAGAACAUAUGUGUAAGUAACUGUGCACAUCUUGACGGUACCUAAUCAGAAAGCCACGGCUAACUACGU
rnacentral:rRNA from 1 species